rnacentral:misc_RNA from 1 species
GAUGAAGAACGUAGCGAAAUGCGAUAAGUAAUGUGAAUUGCAGAAUCCAGUGAGUCAUCGAAUCUUUGAACGCACAUUGCGCCCGCCAGCAUUCUGGCGGGCAUGCCUGUUCGAGCGUCAUUUCAACCCUCGACCUCCCCUUGGGGAGGUCGGCGUUGGGGACCGGCAGCACACCGCCGGCCCUGAAAUGGAGUGGCGGCCCGUCCGCGGCGACCUCUGCGUAGUAAUACAGCUCGCACCGGAACCCCGACGCGGCCACGCCGUAAAACACCCAACUUCUGAACGUUGACCUCGAAUCAGGUAGGACUACCCGCUGAACUUAAGCAUAUCAAUAAGCGGAGGA